rnacentral:snRNA from 1 species
GUGCUCGCUUCUGCAGCACAUAUACUAAAAUUGGAACGAUACAGAGAAGAUUAACAUGCCCCCUGAGCAAGGUAACCAGGUCUUCACGACAAGCCCUCAAGACAAGCAGUUUGU